AUACGGAGGAUCCGAGCGUUAUCCGGAUUUAUUGGGUUUAAAGGGAGCGUAGGCGGACGCUUAAGUCAGUUGUGAAAGUUUGCGGCUCAACCGUAAAAUUGCAGUUGAUACUGGGUGUCUUGAGUACAGUAGAGGCAGGCGGAAUUCGUGGUGUAGCGGUGAAAUGCUUAGAUAUCACGAAGAACUCCGAUUGCGAAGGCAGCCUGCUGGACUGUAACUGGCGCUGAUGCUCGAAAGUGUGGGUAUCAAACAGGAUUAGAUACCCUGGUAGUCCACACAGUAGACGAUGAAUACUCGCUGUUUGCGAUAUACAGUAAGCGGCCAAGCGAAAGCGUUAAGUAUUCCACCUGGGGAGUACGCCGGCAACGGUGAAACUCAAAUGAAUUGACGGGG
rnacentral:rRNA from 1 species